rnacentral:rRNA from 1 species
GACGAACGCUAGCUACAGGCUUAACACAUGCAAGUCGAGGGGCAGCGAGAAGAAAGCUUGCUUUCUUUGUCGGCGACCGGCGCACGGGUGAGUAACGCGUAUCCAACCUUCCCCUUAGUAGAGGAUAGCCCGGCGAAAGUCGGAUUAAUACUCUAUGUUCUUUCUGGAUGGCAUCUGAUGGAAAGCAAAGGUUCACCGCUAAGGGAUGGGGAUGCGUCUGAUUAGCUUGUUGGCGGGGUAACGGCCCACCAAGGCGACGAUCAGUAGGGGUUCUGAGAGGAAGGUCCCCCACAUUGGUACUGAGACACGGACCAAACUCCUACGGGAGGCAGCAGUGAGGAAUAUUGGUCAAUGGGCGAGAGCCUGAACCAGCCAAGUAGCGUGCAGGACGACUGCCCUAUGGGUUGUAAACUGCUUUUAUAGGGGAAUAAAGUGAGGUAUGUAUACCUUUUUGUAUGUACCCUAUGAAUAAGGACCGGCUAAUUCCGUGCCAGCCGCCGCAGUAAUAC